ensembl:lncRNA
UUAGUAUUGGGACCAGGAUGGGGCUCCUUUAAGAGAUCAAAGUGAAGACUUGAAAGACAGCAAUGAAAUUGCUCUUGGAGACUGAAGCAAAGGUGACCUGAGUAUUAUGAUGUCAUAACGGCACGUUGCGCAAACACACAUAUGACACACCCAGUGGUGAAACUCUCCUGCACUUUGGGAAAGAAAACAGGGACCUAAGGAACACGUGAGUCUGGCUGAGGAUAUUUACAGGCAGACUGUGGAAAGACCAUUUUUGCUUUGUUUUUGUUUUUAGCUGCCUAUGAAAAGUAAAGUAAAAAAAAAAAUUUUUUUUAAGGAAAUAUAGAGUUUUUGAGCAGACUUAAAGGAAAUAUAAAGCAACCAAGAUGUAUUGGAUUUGAAAGCAAUUUACAAGUUCUUUAGAGCAAGAAGAACCAUACUAAGGAGCCACAUCCAAAGAAACACAACUGAGAAGAUCCAUCAAUGUCCAUGCCUGAUUUAGAUGAUAAAAUCCUGGAUUCAAGUUGAUGCCAUUAUGGGAUGAGACUGGUGGUCCUGGGAAAAGGGACGAGCUGUGUUUUGUGUAAGGGAGGAAUGUGAAUUGUGGGCAGAGGGUGGACUGUGGCAGCUAUUCUCCAGGGACAACCCUGAAUAAUUCUGCCCCUGCCUGCAUGCACCUACUGCUACUCCCACCUGAGACAAAGCUUACGUCACAUCGGUCUAGGCUGGAGCCCCUGACUACAUUGAUUAACAGCAUGCAAGGGAGGUGAUAUUCUGGGACUUUGGAAGGCAGGCACCAAGAAGGUCAAGCAGCUUCCAGUUCUCUGCAAUUUGACACUGAAGACAACAUGGGACCCUGGGUGAUCCCUGAUCUGGGAAGAUCCCACAACUAAGCCCAUGUGCUACAACUAUGGAAGCCUGCACACCCAAGAACCCGCGCUACACAACAACAGAAGUGCAAUGAGAAGCACGCACACUGAAACUAAAGAGGCCCCCACUCUCUGAAACUAGAGAAAGCCUAUUAAAAAAUAAAGCCAUGUCACUGGGAA